UGGGAACCUUCCCUAUGGUUCGGAAUAGCCCAGGGAAACUUGGGGUAAUACCGAAUAAGCCCUUCGGGGGAAAGAUUUAUCGCCAUUGGAUGGGCCCGCGUCGGAUUAGCUAGUUGGUGGGGUAACGGCCCACCAAGGCGACGACGGGUAGCCGGCCUGAGAGGGUGACCGGCCACACUGGGACUGAGACACGGCCCAGACUCCUACGGGAGGCAG
rnacentral:rRNA from 1 species